rnacentral:rRNA from 1 species
UACGAAGGGGGCUAGCGUUGCUCGGAAUCACUGGGCGUAAAGCGCACGUAGGCGGAUCUUUAAGUCAGGGGUGAAAUCCUGGAGCUCAACUCCAGAACUGCCUUUGAUACUGGGGAUCUCGAGUCCGGGAGAGGUGAGUGGAACUGCGAGUGUAGAGGUGAAAUUCGUAGAUAUUCGCAAGAACACCAGUGGCGAAGGCGGCGACCUGGGUCGAGACUGACGCUGAGGCGCGAAGGCGUGGGGAGCAAACAGG